GUAAUGAUUAUGUUUUUAUAUUAUAUUAUUAUUAAUAUAUUAUAUUAUAUUAUAUAUAUACAUAAAACAAAAGAAAGAAGAGAAAAAGAAAGAAAAGAAACAGAAUAGAAGAGACGAAACAAAGAAAGAAACAGAGAGCAAAACGAGCAGAGAAGGAAGGAAAGAAAGAAAGAAAGAAAGAAAAAGAAAAAGGGAAAUUUGAGGUUUUAAGGUUCCAAGCUCAAUUGGUAAGUCAAAUUAAGUCAUUUUCUUAUAAUUUUUGAGUUUUUGGAAUCCUAGAGAUAAAUACUACUUGAUUUAUGUUGAUAUUUUGAAAGUUAGUAGAUCGUCAGACAUGAGUUAUGUUGAAUUAAUUGAUGAACUAGAGGUUAAAAUGAUUGAAUUUUAAGUUAGAAGUUAGUAAAAGAUUGAUUUGUAAAAUAAGAUAUAAGUUUUGAAUUGAUAGGGAUUAAAUUGAAAGAAUCCCGAAAUUAGGGAUUUAUGGGGAAAUUGAAGAAUUAAACUGAGUUUAUAGUAAGAAUUAAGAGAGAAUAUAGAGUUAGAAUGGAAAAAUAAAAUUAGUAUUGAUAAGGGAUUAAAUUAGAAUUUGGGUAAAGUUUAGGUAUACGGGAAAUAUUUUAAUGAAAUUGAGUAUUAAUGAUUUUUAAUUGUUUAAUUACGUAGCUAAUGUCGUGUACGAGUCAUUGCCCGAGAAAGGAGAAGGUGGACAAGGAUUGACUCGGGAGAAAUUUCGGUUAGUAUUAAUAUAAUUCGAAUUUAAUUAUUAAUUGUUAAAAUUUAAAUUAAUAUACAUAAUAAGAAAAUUGAGGUAAGCAUCCCGACUGAAUUGAAUGAUAAAUACGUAUUGGUAUUGAAUUUAUUAAUAGUAAUUGUUGAAUUUUGAAUAAUAUGUUUAGUAUAAAAAAAAUAGAUGAAUAUUGAUAUUGAAUUGUACAUGAAUUUGAUUAGAAAAUGAAUUAAAAAUAUAUAUAUGAAUGGAAUAAAAGUGAAUUAAAUUGUGAAUAAGUGUGAUAUAUGUGAAUGGUGGAAUAAGUAGUAAAUUGUAAUGACGGAGAAAUGAUAAAUCCUUUUUGAAAUAAUUUUGUAAAGUAUUUAAAUAAAUGAGAUUCAGAUUUAAUGCCCAAGUAGAUGGAAUUUAGAACUACCAGGAUAUUAGUGGCAUGCCAUUAAGGAACUUAUUAAGGAACUUUAGUGCGCUCUCUGAUAUUAGCACGUUGGUGCUCUCUGAUAUUAGCACGUUGGUGCUCUCUGUUUAGCACAUUUGUGCUCUCUGUAUUUGUUCCGUAUAUCCGGGGUGUUCUGUAAAAUCUACUUUGGGCUAAGAUUAUAAGCUGUGGACAAAAGUGAAUCAUUAAUAUGUUAAGGUAUGUUUUAUAAAGUUUAUAUGUACCGUUUUAGGUAUAAUGUGCCGUAUUGGUGUGUUUUGGUUAGAUCCGUGUAUCCGCCAAGGUCCGAGACAAGUUAAUAGGGGUAAAUGAAUAAUUUUGAUAAUAUAAAUUUUUAUUGAAUGAUCUUGAAUAUGAAUUGAAAUAGCUAUUGUUAAGAAAUGAGAAGUGAAAAUAAAAUAAUUUGAAAGAGUGAAAUAAUAUGUGAAUUUAAUUGAAUACAAGUUAUUGAAAUUUAGUUAUGGAUUUAAUGAAUAAAUUGAGUGUUAAAAGAUUUAAAGUACAUAUUGAAUAUAAAUAGAAUGGAUAAUGAAUGAGUUGAUAAAUUGAUUGAAUUUGUAUGAAUUGGAAUGAGAUGUGAAAAAUUCCAUGAAAUUGAGAUAGUGGAAUAAGGUAUAAAUACAAUUAAAUACAAGAUUUGAAUUAUUGCUUAUUGUUAUUAAUUAUCAAGUUGAUUUAAUGUAUGAGAUAAUUAAUGAAUAAUUGUAGACAUAAAUAAAAUAUAUAUAAUUUAUCAAUUAAUGUUAUUAAUUUGAAUUAUGGUAAUACCACUGAGUAUUCCCAUACUCAGCGUACAGUUGUUUCCGUGCGCAGGAUUGUAGAAAACUAGUGUUCGAUUCAGCAUCCAAAGUAAUCCCGACCUCAAAGACAUUUUAGUGAUGUACCUUUCUGUUGAUAAUGUGGCAUGUACCUAGGUAAUUUAUAUACCUAAGUGAUGUAUAGGGAUUAGUCAUUUUGAAUGUUGUAUCUAUGAUAUUGGUAAAGAAAGAUGUGUGAGUAUGUGAUAAUGUUUGGCUUUUAAAAUGGUUAAGUAUGAAAAUCAAGAAAGGGUAAAUUUUGCAAAGAAACAGAAUUCAGACAGCAAUAGCGACGUAACUUUGAAAAAUCACCUAAGAUAGUAUAAAAUGAAUUAGAGGGUGAAUGAUAUAUGAAAUUAAAUAUUGUUGAGUCUAUUUUUAUAGAAAAAUAACUGUUUAGCAAAAAGAAAUUUAUAUUUUAAGAUAUAUGAAUUUUAGUGAGACAGGGUCAGAAUUGUUUCUGGAGUCCCCUGUUCCGAGUUUAGAAAAUCACUAAAAAUGGUAUAAAAAUAGUUAUGAGUUGUAGUUUAUAUGUAUAGAAUCCUUAUUGAGUCUAUUUUCUGUAGAAACAAGUGGUAAUAUCAUAUGGAAAUCCUAUAGUGAGAAUUUAUUUUUAAUACCAAGGGGUCAGGACAGUUGAGUGAAGAAACAGGGGAGACUUUAACUAAUAAACUGUACUAAUUGGCCAAACCAAAAAUUCUGAAAAUUUUAUGGUAGAAAUAUAUAUGAAUCUGGUUUCAGGGAAAAUUUACGGAAUUAAAUUUUGAGUCUCGUAGCUCGAGUUAUAAUCAAUUUAGUAACUGCUGCGCGAUUAGGCAGAUUACUGUAAACAGUGAAAUAAAUUUUCAAAACGAAUUUUUAUGCCCCGAAUUAGUAAGAUAAGUUAGGUAAUGCUUCGUGCUCGACUUCGGAAACGGUCUCGGGUAAGGGGUGUUCCAAACUAUAUCCCGACUUAGCCCGACUAGUUAAUAGGGUAUUCAAAUUCUCAAUUCACUUUCAUUUCCAAUUCAAGAUCAUUUUUCCACUUUCUAAUCAAUUAACAAUUUAAUACCAAUACAUAUAUCAAAUAAUCACAUAUAACCAUAUUUCGAUUCAAUUCAAACCACUUUUCAAUCAAUACACAAUUCACAUACUCACACAUAUUCAUAAAUUAUUUCACUUUAUUUAAUUCAUAUUUUAAAUUCAUUUUCCAAUCAAAUUCAAAUCACUAAUUACUUUUCAAUCAAUAUACAUUUCACUACUCACAUAUUUCCAUCAUUCGAUUCAAUUUGAUUCAAUUCAAAUCACUAUUAUCACUUCAAUUGCUUACCUAAUUUUACUUACCAUGCAUUUAAUUAAAAUAUAACAAUUAAUAAUAACUAAAUUUGAAUUAUAGUAAUACAAACCCGAAUUUGCUCGAUUAUUCCUCAACGACCUUCUCCUUCCCUUUUUGUGCCGAUACCUCGAAUUCUUU
rnacentral:lncRNA from 1 species